rnacentral:rRNA from 1 species
UGGAUUAAGAGCUUGCUCUUAUGAAAUUAGCGGCGGACGGGUGAGUAACAAGUGGGUAACCUGCCCAUAAGAAUGGGAUAACUCCGGGAAACCGGGGCUAAUACCGGAUAACAUUUUGAACUGCAUGGUUCGAAAUUGAAAGGCGGCUUCGGCUGUCACUUAUGGAUGGACCCGCGUCGCAUUAGCUAGUUGGUGAGGUAACGGCUCACCAAGGCAACGAUGCGUAGCCGACCUGAGAGGGUGAUCGGCCACACUGGGACUGAGACACGGCCCAGACUCCUACGGGAGGCAGCAGUAGGGAAUCUUCCGCAAUGGACGAAAGUCUGACGGAGCAACGCCGCGUGAGUGAUGAAGGCUUUCGGGUCGUAAAACUCUGUUGUUAGGGAAGAACAAGUGCUAGUUGAAUAAGCUGGCACCUUGACGGUACCUAACCAGAAAGCCACGGCUAACUACGUGCCAGCAGCCGCGGUAAUACGUAGGUGGCAAGCGUUAUCCGGAAUUAUUGGGCGUAAAGCGCGCGCAGGUGGUUUCUUAAGUCUGAUGUGAAAGCCCACGGCUCAACCGUGGAGGGUCAUUGGAAACUGGGAGACUUGAGUGCAGAAGAGGAAAGUGGAAUUCCAUGUGUAGCGGUGAAAUGCGUAGAGAUAUGGAGGAACACCAGUGGCGAAGGCGACUUUCUGGUCUGUAACUGAC